GGCACACGCACACACACACACAACAAUGCUUGAAUCUACAUUUUACACACAAAUAAACUCACAAACCGUCACGAGCGAAGACACGUGUUCAAUCAGUGACUUCACCCGCUUCACCCGCUCUGAAACGUAGAAGUAGUAGUUUGGCAGAGCGAUAAGUAAUUAUGCUUCGUGGGUGACAAUUUUCAAUAUGUUCAGAGGGUCCCUGGUUCCAGCCCAAGUUGGGGCAAGGAGAGGGACGGAAGCAAUACUGUUACAGUACAUACAUUGCCAAGAGUGUGCAAAGCUGUCAUCAAGGCGAAGGGUGGCUAUUUGAAGAAUCUCAAAUAUAAAGUAUAUUUUGAUUUGUUUAACACUUUUUUGGGUUAAUGCCUGAUUCCAUAUGUGUUAUUGUCAUGUAUUGUCAUGUUGUGUCUUGUUUCUGUCCUUUCCCUUCACCCUGUCUCCCUCUGCUGGUCGUUAUUAGGUUACCUUUUCUCCCCCUCUUUCCCCCAGCUGUUCCUUGUCUCCUCCUAACUACCUCGUCACCCCUUUUCCCACCUGUUACCUUUUCUCCCCCGCUUUCCCCCAGCUGUUCCUUGUCUCCUCUUGACUACCUCGUCACCCCUUCUCCCACCUGUUCCCCUUUUCCCUCUGAUUAGUCCCCUAUAUCUCUCUCUGUUUUUGUUCCUGUCCUUGUCGGAUUCUUGUUUGUUGUGUUUCAUGCCUGAGCCAGACUAUCGUCAUGUUUGCUGUAACCUUGUCCUGUCCUGUCGGAAUCUGCCGGUCUAUCUGAGCCUACCACAGUUUGGUUAUUAAAGAAGCUCUGUUUAAGUUAGUUCGCUUUUGGGUCCUCAUUCACUCACCGUAACACUCACAGUUUAACCAUAACUGUUAAUGUGUCUAAUGUGUCUAAAAAAUGAUUAAUUGAUGAUUAAUAAAGUAAUUGACCCAUUGUCAAGAUACUGUUAAAUUAUUUAACAAUUCAUUAUUUUUUUAUGUGAACCUACCCACUUUUGCCAUAGUGCUCAUAAACUACCAUGAAUUUGAAAAGAAAGCUUUACUUGGGCCUAGGUGUCAGACUUCAGAGUCAUUUGUUGCAGAGUUGUGUCAAUGAGGUGGUCAGUUUUCAGUAUGCUGUGUUCCAGAUGCUAUGGGAAACUUGAACAUUUGUAACAAGCAUUCGUUGUUACACCUCUGUAAUUACACUAGACCAGUUGAAUGUUGUUAGUACAAUGUAACUAUGAAUUAUUAAAAUGAAUGACAAUACUUGUUACUGUGUACAUUACAUAUAUAAUUUCAUUGCAAUAAGGACCCCAGUUUCUCCUGUUUGGGAGUCAUUGACAGGUGCCUAUCACUGUCCAAGAACACAUUUUCCAAAUCUGCUCUUUGGUAGUAAUGAAAUCGGGCAAAGACAACAUUUUCAACAGCCUUUUAUAAUAUAAAAAAGUUUCAGAAUUCAGCCUUUGAUUUUCUAUAAGAGGAGAUCUGAUGUGCUUUGUUGGUGUUGGAACCUACAGAAACAGCAAGAAAGAUCAACGGUCGCUCUGCUUACACUAGCUAGCAUCAAGAGCCUCCAGAUCUCUGUCUGCUUCUGAGGACAAUGUGAGGAGCAGAGAAGAUUAUCUCUUAUCAGGAUACUGACGUUCUCAAAGGACUUUUGGCUCCCUUUAUCGGUGCUAAUUAGAGUAGACCCUCGGUCUUUGAGAACCCACUAGAACCCGUCAAUUGUAUCUUUGUUUGGAUUAUUUGCACCCCAAUGGGUUUUAAAUCAACAGAUGGAAGCUGUGGAAACCUAGUCAAUAUAGCAAACAUUCUCAUGGACCAAAAGCUGGGCCUCAGGAACAAUGAUGAUUGUCAACAAGCUUAAAUUUAGAUUACCAAUCUCAGGGUGUGUUUGAGGCCAAGGCAGGACUCGUUUGCAGCUGAUUAGGUUUGUUAUUAUUGCACAUGGAUGCUUUUGAAAGUGGCUCCGAUUCAGCAGAUCGUGUUGUUUGAGACUGUAGUCUAUUCAAUGACAGUCUUGUGCUGAAGAUUGGACAAUGGGCAUAAUAGCUGACUAUGGUCAAAUUAUGAAUGAGCCAUGCUAAUGUUUUCCAAUUCACUUUCCAUUCAUCACUUGUGAUUGUUUUAACCAACAGUAGGCACUCGUGUUGUGGUAGAGUAUAUGUAUUCACUUCAUCAAUGACAAUUUGUCUGGUGGAGUUUUAAGCAGCACAAUUCCUCGUCUCAUACACAAAAACAAACCAUCAUGAUUCUAUUUAACCAAUUAAUCUAGCCAGGGCAUUGUCACUUGUUACUUUCUCCUCCCAUUAGAUCGGCUGACAAAUGGGCUGGCUGAAUUGGUUUCCUGUUCAUUAUUCUUGGGACACAAAAUGACAUCGAGUCUGAUGGAUGAACAUCAAUAGCGUGCGUUUGCUGUCCCGUUCCCUGUUCUGGUGUUA
rnacentral:lncRNA from 13 species